UACGGGGGGAGCAAGCGUUGUUCGGAAUUACUGGGCGUAAAGGGCGCGUAGGCGGCAAGGCAAGUCAGGUGUGAAAGCCCCGAGCUUAACUCGGGAAUUGCAUCUGAAACUGCUGUGCUUGAGUUCUGGAGGGGGUAGUGGAAUUCCCAGUGUAGCGGUGAAAUGCGUAGAUAUUGGGAGGAACACCUGCGGCGAAGGCGGCUACCUGGACAGAAACUGACGCUGAGGCGCGAAAAGCUAGGGGGAGCGAACGGGG
rnacentral:rRNA from 1 species